rnacentral:misc_RNA from 1 species
CUGUCUCCCGUUGUCUCUAUCGUCUGCUCCGGUGAACCCGCAUCGUUCCUAUUCCUUGUGCUGCUUCCGUCGUCGGCUCCAGUAAAUCACUUUGUUCGCCAGCUCGAGAUCGUGGACGGCUUGCUAAAAUCAGUUACCAUAAACAUGAGAGCAUUCUCAGUGACAAAUAGAGCAUUUUCUAUUCUCUCUAUAUUAACAAACCAUGGAAGACAAUCCUCAGUACCAUCUUCCCUACUUACCUACCCCGAACAACAUCUUAUCACAAGAUGA